GCUUGCACCUUCUCAAGCGAGUGGCGAACGGGUGAGUAACACGUGGAUAACCUGCCUCAAGGCUGGGGAUAACAUUUGGAAACAGAUGCUAAUACCGAAUAAAACUUAGUAUCGCAUGAUACAAAGUUGAAAGGCGCUACGGCGUCACCUAGAGAUGGGUCCGCGGUGCAUUAGUUAGUUGGUGGGGUAAAGGCCUACCAAGACAAUGAUGCAUAGCCGAGUUGAGAGACUGAUCGGCCACAUUGGGACUGAGACACGGCCCAAACUCCUACGGGAGGCUGCAGUAGGGAAUCUUCCACAAUGGGCGAAAGCCUGAUGGAGCAACGCCGCGUGUGUGAUGAAGGCUUUAGGGUCGUAAAGCACUGUUGUAUGGGAAGAAAUGCUAGAAUAGGGAAUGAUUCUAGUUCGACGGUACCAUACCAGAAAGGGACGGCUAAAUACGUGCCAGCAGCCGCGGUAAUACGUAUGUCCCGAGCGUUAUCCGGAUUUAUUGGGCGUAAAGCGAGCGCAGACGGUUGAUUAAGUCUGAUGUGAAAGCCCGGAGCUCAACUCCGGAAUGGCAUUGGAAACUGGUUAACUUGAGUGUUGUAGAGGUAAGUGGAACUCCAUGGUUAAAC
rnacentral:rRNA from 1 species